rnacentral:rRNA from 1 species
GGGUACACGAGCGGCGAACGGGUGAGUAACACGUGGGUGAUCUGCCUUGCACUUCGGGAUAAGCCUGGGAAACUGGGUCUAAUACCGGAUAUGACCACUGAUCGCAUGGUUGGUGGUGGAAAGAUUUAUCGGUGCGAGAUGGGCCCGCGGCCUAUCAGCUUGUUGGUGAGGUAACGGCUCACCAAGGCGACGACGGGUAGCCGACCUGAGAGGGUGACCGGCCACACUGGGACUGAGACACGGCCCAGACUCCUACGGGAGGCAGCAGUGGGGAAUAUUGCACAAUGGGCGAAAGCCUGAUGCAGCGACGCCGCGUGCGGGAUGACGGCCUUCGGGUUGUAAACCGCUUUUGACAGGGACGAAGCGCAAGUGACUGUACCUGUAGAAUAAGGACCGGCCAACUACGUGCCAGCAGCCGCGGUAAUACGUAGGGUCCGAGCGUUGUCCGGAAUUACUGGGCGUAAAGAGCUUGUAGGCGGUUCGUCGCGUCGUUUGUGAAAACUUGGGGCUCAACCUUAAGCUUGCAGGCGAUACGGGCGGACUAGAGUACUUCAGGGGAGACUGGAAUUCCUGGUGUAGCGGUGAAAUGCGCAGAUAUCAGGAGGAACACCGGUGGCGAAGGCGGGUCUCUGGGAAGUAACUGACGCUGAGAAGCGAAAGCAUGGGUAGCAAACAGGAUUAGAUACCCUGGUAGUCCAUGCCGUAAACGGUGGGUACUAGGUGUGGGGCUCCUUCCACGGACUCCGUGCCG